UACGAAGGUGGCAAGCGUUGUUCGGAAUUACUGGGCGUAAAGCGCGUGUAGGCGGUUGCCCAAGUCGGGUGUGAAAGCCUUGAGCUCAACUCAAGAAAUGCACUCGGUACUGGGUGACUAGAGGACCGGAGAGGAUAGUGGAAUUCCCAGUGAUAGUGGUGAAAUACGUUAAGAGAUUGGGAAGAACACCAGUGGCGAAGGCGGCUAUCUGGACGGUUUCUGACGCUAAGACGCGAAAGCGUGGGGAGCAAACAGGAUUAAGAAACCCCG
rnacentral:rRNA from 1 species